CCGAUGUGUGCGGCACGUGCACACACAAUCACUAUGCUAAACGUCGCUAGCACCUUCAUCGCACUCUGAAAACAACGCACUGGUUCACAGAAAGCGGGAAUAGGUACCACACAGCGUUCUUCAGAGCACAAGCUGACCGAUAUAUAUCAUCACCAACAUCAUUAUCGUCGUAAUAGGUCCACCGAAUGGCAGUUCUAAGUCGUGAAGUGGAAAGAGCCGUAGCGACGUAUUCAAAUCAUAUUAUCAUAGUCAGCACAACGAUCGCGCCAUUGGUAACUGCACGGGAUUGCACUGCGCUAAAAAUCGGCACCAGUGCCAGGUACUAAAAAGCCAAUGAGAAAAUGGGCUGGCCGUACGCCCGCCCGCGUCCCCUUCUUCAGACAACUUGCUCAAUGUCAACUGAUCACACAAAAAACCGUGAACUAACAAAAAAAAAAAAACCGAGGAAGAAAUUGACUCAGUUAUUUCUAUCUAUAUUUUUCUGUUCGACCGUUUCUUAACUAACAGUCAGUGGAGUGAUAGGCAUCUGACGAUUUAUCCGAAAGUCUACUAUUACUAUGUUUUCGAGGAAAUAUACUGAGAUGAUGAGAGGUUUACAUCCGACAGCUCUACAAGCGAGCCCAUUGACUCGGCUUGGAUCGACAGGACACUGAACGACAGCGACAAAAUUGACUAUAAGCUAGAAUAACAUAGAGCAAACAUUUAUUUUGAACGGGGUUUAUUGUGCUGUAUUUGGUCGUCUGCUAGUUAAUAUAUGUAGGAUGCUAUUUUUCAGCCAUACGUCAACGCUCGAAUUUACGUAAUGAACUUGUUCCAGUAUCUAACUUCGUAUAUAAUGAUGUAAUAUUACCUUGUGAUCCUAUAGCUUACCGUAACGGUAACCUUAAUGUUGUGGACGGCAAAUAGGCCCAUGGUCGCAUUACGGUGUGAAUAACUAUUCCACAAAUUACAAGCUAAUCAAGUUAAUUAGUGAAAUAAACCCUAAGCGCCAUCGAUAUAUAUACGUAUAUAUAUAUAUAUAUAUAUAUAUACGGGUAUAUAUAUAUAUAUCUCUAGAUAGUUGCUCGUUGAAGACGGUAGGCGGGCAACUGGUCAUACUUCAAGCAACUAAUUGUCGACGCUGGUCGAGACAAAGAUCGAUGAUUCUUUCUGCGUUCAUGCCUUGUCAGCUAGUAGAAGUAGCAGAAGUGUAUGCGUAUGAAAACAUUUACACAAAGCUGAAGCAUAUAGUAGAUAAAGCGAUAGUCGCAUCCAUUAAUUUAACGCUAGCUCGAGGAAGGCCUUUUAGGCAAAGGCAGUACCGGUAGUCCUUUCCGCUCAAGGCAAAUGCCGCUGAUGUAAAACGCUUUUUGUUUGCGGAUCUGAACCGAAAUGCUAUGCGAUCAGCUGGAUAACUGGUACGUGACACAACUCCCGUGUGGCACGUGCCUGUUUUGAGUACUCCCGAUGUAAACGCUGUUUUGCUUACACACUAUUCGAUCGAUAGGCACUGACAGGCGCUGUUUGAACGUCCGAGAGCUACCAAGUAGAGCUUUGCUGGAGCAUUUUUGUGCAGCGGCAAUUCAAAACUGGUAAUAAGAAAGGUCUACACUAACAAAAAGUGCCGACAGUUUUUUAAAGCUCGCCACUUUUGGCAGGACCCCACAUUGCCGUUGCAGUCGGAGGUUUAGCUCAACAACAAUCUCUGACAAGAGCAAGCCUUCAGAAUCAGCGUCUACGGAAUACUAUUUCGAACGCAGAUCCGCCGAAAGGGUGUUACAUGAACGUACGUAACAAUAAUCUGUGUGAAGAUAUCCUCGGACGCUCAUUUUAACAGAGCGACGUGAAGUGGGUCAAUUGAUUGCACUAAAUUCACGAUGCCCAAACUAUU